UCAGGCUUAACAAACUGUAUAUUUUGGUUGUGCUUGACUUCAAAAAACGAGGUUAGGAAGGGGAGAACCUACCUAUGAUCACCUCUCUUCAGAUUCUCAAAAGUAGGAGCAGCGAUUUAUCCAUCCUCACAGUUGCACAACUAAGAGUAGCAUAGAAAGCUUUCAAAAGCAGUGUGGGGGCCACGAAUCCUGGUGAUAUAACACUGGAUUCCAUCUUUAGAGGCUUCGAAGAGCCAAAGCUUCGUCUGAAUACCGCCAUGACAAAAUCUAGUGGAACAAUCUAUGAUUUCUUGCUGACUCUUGUGGUCUGGUGUACAAGAAGGAAAGCAUGCAUGGAGAAGGUGAAGUCCUGCAUUUUUUGGAGGCCCUGGAGUGCAGUGCAGGGGAAGGAGAGAGAAGGGCCAAUUGCCUCCAUUUUUCUUUACAUUGGCCCAUGUCGAAGACUAAAGGGAUUUGAACUAGAGGUCGCAGAGAGCGGUACCCGCAACCAACCGAGGAAGCCGGGGCGACCAGUUGCCACGACAAACCACCACCGCUGGGGGCGUGGGUGGCGUUACUCCAAGAGACGACCCCUGGAAGAGCAAGAGGCCGCCGCUAGGGGGCGCCGCUGCUUCCCCGCUAGGCGCCCACCCGCGGGGCGCGCACGCGAGGCUUUCCACCGCGCCUGCGCCGAGGAUGGACGCAGGCUCUCUUUUCCCCGACGCCAGCCGUCCCGACCCGGAUGAAACACUGCGUGACAGGCAGCGAGCGUGGCGGCCAUCUUCGUCUUCUGGGCACGUCAGCUGAGCCGGUUAGGGCCGAAGAGGAGCGUUGCGCAAGCGCGCCCAAGACGGCCACAGGUAACUCCCAUCUGACGGGCGAGGCGUCGCCGUCCUCGCCGGAAGUUUGGCGUUUCUGCGCCGCGGGAGAGGGGGCGGUCGCGGCAGAAGCAGCUGAGUGUCUCCUGAUACCCGGAUGUGAGGCGUUCUGCUGGCCCGCGUUGGAUCCUCCGCCAGGAGUGAGGAAGGUACGCGAGAGUCCCGAGCGCCCCCGCCGCCUGCCGUCGCGCCGCCUGCGUCCUCGCCUCCCUUUGGCAGCCUCUCCGGUGAGCAGGACGCCUCUACCCCUUCCUGUCCCACCCUCAGUGUCGUUGCCUCGCGCGCCUCUUCCUCCUUCUGUGGCCCGGGUUCCUGGCGCCCCUGGGAGGGGUGGGAGGUAGCCAGCCUGCGCGUCUCAGCUGCCCAGUCGCCGCAUCACCUGCCGCUGCUUGCCAGGCGGUCAGAGGUAAUGCCGGGGCCACGAUCGGGGACCGGGUCAGGCCGGGGCUUCCGGGGCGGCCGCGAGGGCUUGCAGAGCCCGGAGGGAGUUUGCAGCCAUUGCGGCUCCUGGACCUCUGUCGGCGCCGGCCGGCAGGUCGCCCCGACCCUGUCCCCGCCCCCGACGUCUCUCCGCGCCAGCGUUUCCCCGGAGCAGCCCCAGCAGCCGGCGCGGAGCUGCGGGCCUGCGGCUGGCUGCCCUGUCCCCGCCGCCGCUCGCUGACCCGGCCCGAACCCUGAGGCCUCUGCGGUCUGCAGGCCGGAGAUGGGCAUCCUGGUUUCACGGUCUUUAGACUGGGAGGGCAGCAGUGGCCCGGGUGCAAGUUCGUAGAGCAAUUCGGGUUGGACAGGGGUGUCUGGGCACGGGUAGGGCUGCUCUGGAGUAGAAGUGGGUGCAUGUAGGGCCAUAGUGAAGUUUGUAGAGACAGAGAUGCGAGCAGAAGGAAAUUGGGUCCUCGAUGUUUAUCAAUAUUCAUUCUACUACAGGGGUUUGUUUUACUCAGGCAGAAGGGGAUAGCAGGUCCAAAAAUUAGAGAACUCCCCCAUCCCCACACCCCCAACCCCCCCAUCCCUCCUCCACCUCUGAAUGUUGAGUUCUGAAAACCGAGCAUGUACAGUAUUUUCCGAGAGGGGGGUGCAGCUGGGAAGGGGAAGGAGUUAAAUCGUUGAGAUUUGAGAAGUACUGUGAACCUUCCUUUCUGUAGUCUUUGGAUAGCUGAAAUGGAAUUCUUUCAGCAGGAAGUAAUUGCAGCACAAAGUAUUUAAAUAGUGUUAUCAAAUGAUAUUUUAGUAAAUAGCCUUUGCGGAAAUCAAUAAAUGAAUGCUACUUAGUGGAAUAGUAGCGUGUGGGUGGGUUUUGUUUUUCCUCCUAAACAUUAAUUUUUUAAAAACUGGGUAAAACACGGAUUUCAGUUUAAAACAUUCUGGUUGCACUAAACUAUGCUGUGUUCAGGCUCUCUUCUGAUUAGGUCCUUAGUUUCUGCUUUACACAGGGCACCAGAACCGAUGGAACUUUUUUAAAUUGAGAAAGUUAAAAAAUUCUCACCGUGGAAUUAGGUAUGAGGGUAGGAUGAAAGUGCUUAAAAAGUGCUUAAUUUGGAAUCUGCAGAUUCAGCCUGGGGCAUGUGAGGAAAUGAGAAAACUAUCAGAGACACGUUCCGCUUUUAGGCAGAAUGCAGUGUAUGUCCCUUAGGUCAGAUGUGUGACUCGGGAAGUACCCUUCUUAGAACAAAACUUGCGCUGGCUUAUGAGCUUCUGUCUACCUUAUACUUUCCUGGCUGAGGAAAAUAUGCUAUCAUUUCUCAUGGAUCAGUAUUAUAAUUCUGUAGUGAACAAGUAAUUUUUUUAACAUCAGCCCCAUACAAGGUUUUGUGCUAGGCAUGUAAAGUGAUAAAUUAUGCUUCCAGAAGAACUGAAAAAGGACCCUAAUUAGUGAAUGCCAUUGACCCCCUUUGCUGGAUGGCCCUUUUCAGCUUGGUAAUUCAUUACAGCACAAAGCUGAUUGUGUUUAUUCUAAUAAUGAGGGUGACUAGUAUUGUACAGUUCAAAGUAAUGGAUUUUUUUUAAGACUAAACUUUGUUUUUUUAAAAGAUUGUCACCUGAGCUAAUGCCUGUUGCCAGUCUUUUUUUUCCUUCUUCUCCCCAAAGCCUUCCAGUCCAUAGUUGUAUAUUCUACUUGUAGGUCUGUCUAGUUCUGCUGUGUGAAACGCUGCCUCAGCAUGGCUUGAUGAGUGGUGUUAGGUCCGUGCCGGGAAUCCAAACCAGCGAAACCCUGGGCGGCUAAAGCGGAGCACACGAACUUAACCACUCAGCCAUGGGGCCAGCUGUUGAAGUAAUGGAUUUUUUUAAUAGUUAAAUAUUUUUUCAUGACUUUUAUUAACAAAUUUAUAUUACACAUAGAGUUCUUUGAAUAACCUCUACUGAAGGUGAUCAGAAGUUUACAUGGUAGUUGUGUAACUCCAGUAAAAUUGUUACCAUAGAUAAUUCACUUAAGGACAGUUAAGUCUUCAGAAGCCCAGACUUUUAUGUUUUUCUGUGCAUCUUUUUUCUUGGCACAGUGAAAGUUCUUUGGCUCUAUUUCUGCACAGGUUUUGCAUUACAGCUAUAUUAUACUACUGUAGUUACUUUUGGUAAAUAGAUCAUUCUAACUUGAAAAUCCUGUCGUUUCUUUCUUGAGGGGGCUAUAUCUUACACCUGAUUGCAUUACAGUACAUCUGAAGAAAGCAAGAUUCGUGUCGUCAGCUCUGUUCAUCUUACUUUAAACAUUUAUGGUUGCGUAUGUGAGAUUCACAGAGAUAACAACUCUGAAUAUAAAUAAAAAUGGGGUAUUAUUACUUUAAUGUAGUGGUUCUCAAACUUUUUGGCUAGGAUCACUUUACACACUUAAUGUGGGACUCUAGAUAGCUUUUGUUUAUAUUGAUUAUAUCUGUUGAUAGUUAUUGUAUUUGAAAUAAAUUUGAACACUUAUUAAUUCGUUAAAAAAUAGCUAAUAAACUAAUUAUAGGUUAAUACAAGUAUUUAUUUCAUUUUUUUUAUGAAAAACAACUAUUUUCCAAAAGAUAAAAAAUUAGUGAAAGAAGGGUGGCUGUUUUACGUUUUGUAAAUCUCUUUAAUGUUUGGUCUGAUAGGAGACAGCUGGAUUCUUCUCUCAGCUUCUGCAUUCAGUCUGUUGUUAUAUGUUGUUCUGGUUGAAGUAUAUGAAGAAAAUCCAGCUUCACACCUAUAUGUUGGGAGGAGUACUUUAAUAACCUUUUGAGAUAAUUGUGAUAUUCUUCUUUGAUGCUACAACAAAACUCAACAAGUGGUAAUUUCUUAAAGAUUAGUUCCCAAACACACAGGACGUUAUUAGAAGCAUCGUUCAUUGGGAGCAUCAUCAAUCAACUUAAAGAAAAAAGUGAUAUGUGCUUUCCAUUUUAGUAAGGUUUUCCUCAUGUAUGUGGUGAUGCUUGUUUAUCUACUCAUGGUUACCAGUGAGACAUUAAAACUGAUUGAAGCUAGGUGUGUUUGGAUGGUGGGUGGGCUGGUAAGUCUUCUGAUUGUAGGAUGUGAAUGAGUGUGAGCACGUGUGUGUGUGUGUGUGUAAUUCAUUAGUUUCCUUCCUAGAAGGCAUAGGUUUAGCUGCUGUCCUCUAGGAAUCUCUCAGUAGGCAAAGAGGACUUUGGGUGGAGGGAGUGGGUUUCAGCAGUCAGUAUGUGUACUCCUAUUUAUUCGCUCUGUUGUCAGUAUGAUAUUUCUUCCCUCACCUAUGACUGUUGAACCCCCACACACCAAAGACCUUUUGUUUUACUCCUUCCAGAGAUUUAUACCUCCAGUCUUCGGGAAUGAUGCAGGGGCAGACUUCUGGGUCCUAGUAGUUGGAGUGGCAAUUUGGGAGUCUCUGUUUUUUUGAGUCCCAUUUUCUUCCCCCUGUCCUAUGGAGCCUGGUACUGCCAAUUCCUGAGUCUUGGAGGAUUCUGUGGUUUAAACAGAAUUGCUUCUCAGCUUUCCUCAUUUCUUGUUUAGGGUUCAGGUUUCUUGUGUCUGGAGGUUAGUUAUUUUUUGUCCUUCUUUGUGGCUUCCAUACGUUUUAUCAUCUACUCUUUUGUUCUUUGUCUGUUGUAUUUAUGGUUUUGUCUUAAUCUGUUGUUUUUUUUAAGUAGGUUUUACAUGAGAGAAGAGGUAAAUGUGUGUUUAAAUCUGCCUUUUUAACUGUGUCAGUGGUUUUCUAUUUAUAUAGUUAUUUUAUGUCCACUGUUUUUCCUCAAAAUGGGAUUUCACUUUAUCAGUUUAAUCCGUUAUAUGUGCAUAUUAUGGAUUGUUUUUGUAUUUUAAAAGUUGUUUCUACAACAUAAAAUGGAUGCAUACAAUUCCAUUGGAUGCAUGUAUCAUAGUUUACUUCACAUUAGAAAUGCUAAAAUUAAAAUGCUAUGUAUAAAGUGGGCUCUGAAGACUAAUGAUAGGACAGGGUAAAAUUAUAGAAUGUUAUAUAUGAUAUAUGAGAGGUGAGUCAAUGAUUACAUCUUUCCUUUGUACAUUUUAAACAUUUUAAAAUGCUUUUUCUUUUAG
rnacentral:lncRNA from 1 species